UCUCCCUCUCCCCCUUUCUCUCUCUCUCUCUCUCCCCCUCGUUUCCCUUCAUAGGUUCUGUGCAGGCAGAUGUGUAUUACAGCUGUAACUGAGGCAAAGAGCAAUAAGCAUAGUGGAGCCAAUUUCCACGAUUGCCGGAGGGGCCACCGGAGGUGACAAUGACAAGGACUCCUGACAACUUUCAGCGCUGAGCAUCUUCGGGAAAAGUGGGUUUCCCCAAGAAGUGGCAUCGUCCUCGAACUGAAAGAUUCUCAGGCUGAUGGAGUGGUGACGGAGUGGGCUGAAUGGCUGCAGGGAACAAAUUCAGACAUGCCCAGAGAAAUCUGCCCAGGGUGAAACAAACACCUUUGAGGUUUAAAUCAGAAAGGAAGGAGAGGCUGUUUCUACAGGUGUCAUAGAAAAAUCAAUACUGAGCUACGGAUUAUUGGAUCCCAUAGAACCAUGGACACUUGGCGGUGACAUUCUUUCCAAGUUUCUUCUAGAUUUUGCAAAGUUGCAAGGCUCCAGCUAACGCAUUGGUUGUUUCACCGCAUUGCUUAGCAUUCCACCCACGCAGGCAGGCGGCGUUCCUAGGCCUGGAUCAGUCCCUGGGGAAGGAGGCUGCGGGACAUUCGGUGCAUCGCUCAUCCUGUGACGAUCCCCCUGCUGUCCCGCCUCUACAAGACUGGCUAAAACCAACGACAACAGCAGUUGUUUACAAUAUAUACUCUAACUUUGGGUCAUCUAGUUAAUACCCUAAUGCUGAUUUUCCUGAACAUAAUAUCCUAUAAGAAAGACUAUUUGGAUGCUGCUACCACAUUAGUAAUAAAACAACAGGGAAAAUGCAACAUUCUGAGUGGACCAUCUGAUGAGCGGUUGACUGAUUGUACCCGCCAGCUGGCUAAUAUCAUAAUUAACAAAGUUGCUACUACGUCGGCAAAGUUUAAUCGAAAAAUUUGCCGGUGAUAUGAUGGCAUUGUCACAAAGAUCACAAGGGACACCGAGUCGACUUUUGCUCAAGGUGGAACGGCAGAGCUGUGUAGGCAAGAGGAGCAAUCACAAACUUGUUCACUCAAAGGUUAUGCUUCAUAUCACCCACUAGGGAGGAUCAUCUCUCAUGAAAACUUUUAAAUUUGAUUUCGAAAAUUAUUCAGAAAAAUUUGAGCCACGCUGUCUUCCAAUGCAGGCAAGAAUAUGCUCUGGAGAUUCCUAUAAUUCAAAGAAAAUGGAUUGGGAUAGCAUUUGGGUUCUCAUGCUGCCAAAAUCCUCUUGAGCAGGUACACAAAGCAUUAAACGUUGUGACAUUGAAAUGUUGGAAGAAUAAUUAAAAUAAUAAUCUAAUAAUAGAUUUUGAGAAAUUGCUAAAUUUCGGUGUUUGAUCCAGAGAGAAGGGAAAGGCUAUUUUCAUUCUUGGCAGCUUUCUGAGGUGUGUUAAUUGCUUCUAUUGCUAUAAAUACUGUGUUUUAAUUGUAUGUCAUUGCUCCUUAGCGUCAUUUCUAGAAAGUUGAUUCUA